rnacentral:rRNA from 1 species
GAUACAGGGUGAUAGUCCCGUAGUUGUAGAUGCAUGUUCAGUGAAAUCGAGUAGGGCGGGACACGUGUUAUCCUGUCUGAAUAUGGGGGGACCAUCCUCCAAGGCUAAAUACUCCUGACUGACCGAUAGUGAACCAGUACCGUGAGGGAAAGGCGAAAAGAACCCCUGUGAGGGGAGUGAAAUAGAACCUGAAACCGUGUACGUACAAGCAGUAGGAGCACCUUCGUGGUGUGACUGCGUACCUUUUGUAUAAUGGGUCAGCGACUUAUAUUCAGUGGCAAGGUUAACCAUCUAGGGGAGCCGUAGGGAAACCGAGUCUUAACUGGGCGCCAUAGUCUCUGGAUAUAGACCCGAAACCGAGUGAUCUAGCCAUGGGCAGGUUGAAGGUUGAGUAACAUCAACUGGAGGACCGAACCGACUAAUGUUGAAAAAUUAGCGGAUGACUUGUGGCUAGGGGUGAAAGGCCAAUCAAACUCGGAGAUAGCUGGUUCUCCCCGAAAGCUAUUUAGGUAGCGCCUCGGACGAAUACUACUGGGGGUAGAGCACUGUUAAGGCUAGGGGGUCAUCCCGACUUACCAACCCUUUGCAAACUCCGAAUACCAGUAAGUACUAUCCGGGAGACACACGGCGGGUGCUAACGUCCGUCGUGGAGAGGGAAACAACCCAGACCGCCAGCUAAGGUCCCAAAUUACAGCUAAGUGGGAAACGAUGUGGGAAGGCUUAGACAGCUAGGAUGUUGGCUUAGAAGCAGCCAUCAUUUAAAGAAAGCGUAAUAGCUCACUAGUCGAGUCGGCCUGCGCGGAAGAUGUAACGGGGCUAAGUUGUAAACCGAAGCUGCGGCAAUGUUCUUUGAACAUUGGGUAGGGGAGCGUUCUGUAAGCCGUUGAAGGUGUGUUGUAAAGCAUGCUGGAGGUAUCAGAAGUGCGAAUGCUGACAUGAGUAACGACAAGGGGGGUGAAAAACCUCCCCGCCGGAAGACCAAGGGUUCCUGUCCAACGUUAAUCGGGGCAGGGUAAGUCGACCCCUAAGGCGAGGCCGAAAGGCGUAGUCGAUGGGAAACGGGUUAAUAUUCCCGUACUUCUUACAAUUGCGAUGGGGGGACGGAGAAGGCUAGGUGGGCCUGGCGACGGUUGUCCAGGUUCAAGUGCGUAGGCU